rnacentral:rRNA from 1 species
UACGUAGGGUGCAAGCGUUGUCCGGAAUUAUUGGGCGUAAAGAGCUCGUAGGCGGUUUGUCGCGUCGACUGUGAAACCCCGAGGCUUAACCUCGGGCCUGCAGUCGAUACGGGCAGACUAGAGUUCGGUAGGGGAGACUGGAAUUCCUGGUGUAGCGGUGAAAUGCGCAGAUAUCAGGAGGAACACCGGUGGCGAAGGCGGGUCUCUGGGCCGAUACUGACGCUGAGGAGCGAAAGCGUGGGGAGCGAACAGG